UACAGAGGGUGCGAGCGUUGUCCGGAAUCACUGGCGUAAAGGGCGCGUAGGCGGUCUGGUAAGCGUGUGGUGAAAGCUCGGGGCUCAACCCCGGAGUCGGCCGUGCGAACUGCUGGACUGGAGCAUGUCAGAGGCAGGCGGAAGUUCCGGGUGUGAGCGGUGGAAUGCGUAGAGAUCCGGGAAGAACACCGGUGGCGAAGGCGGCAUCCUGGACCGGUAUUGACGCUGAGGCGCGAAAGCCAGGGGAGCAAACGGG
rnacentral:rRNA from 1 species